rnacentral:rRNA from 1 species
AUUGAACGCUGGCGGCAGGCUUAACACAUGCAAGUCGAGCGGGGUGAUGGUGCUUGCACUAUCACUUAGCGGCGGACGGGUGAGUAAUGCUUAGGAAUCUGCCUAUUAGUGGGGGACAACAUCUCGAAAGGGAUGCUAAUACCGCAUACGUCCUACGGGAGAAAGCAGGGGAUCACUUGUGACCUUGCGCUAAUAGAUGAGCCUAAGUCGGAUUAGCUAGGUGGUGGGGUAAAGGCCUACCAAGGCGAAGAUCUGUAGCGGGUCUGAGAGGAUGAUCCGCCACACUGGGACUGAGACACGGCCCAGAUUCCUACGGGAGGCAGCAGUGGGGAAUAUUGGACAAUGGGGGGAACCCUGACCCAGCCAUGCCGCGUGUGUGAAGAAGGCCUUAUGGUUGUAAAGCACUUUAAGCGAGGAGGAGGCUCUUUUGGUUAAUACCCAAGAUGAGUGGACGUUACUCGCAGAAUAAGCACCGGCUAACUCUGUGCCAGCAGCCGCCGUAA